GACGAACGCUGGCGGCGUGCUUAACACAUGCAAGUCGAACGGAAAGGCCAGUUUCGGGGGGUACUCGCGUGACGAACGGGUGAGUAAGACGUGAGUAACCUGCCCUUGAAUAAGGGAUAACUAAAGGCAAGUGGGCGUAACACCGACCGGAAGAUACUGUGGAACGGAGGGGGCUGUAGAGAUUCGCGGGUUGGCGGUGGACUCGCGGCGUAUCAGCUUGUCGGUGGGGAAGUGGCUUGCCAAGGCCUUGCCGGGUAGCCGGCCUGUGGGGGUGACCGGCCGCAUUGGGACUGAGGUACGGCCCAGACUCCGACUGGACGCAGCAGUGGGGAAUAUUGCACAAUGGGUGGCAGCCUGAUGCAGCAGCGCCGUGGGCGGUAUGACGGCCUUCGGGUUGUAAACCGCUUUCGCUCAUGACGAAGCUUUGUGUGACGGUAGUGGGUAAAGAAGCACCGGCUAACUACGUG
rnacentral:rRNA from 1 species